rnacentral:rRNA from 1 species
GAUGAACGCUGGCGGCGUGCUUAAGACAUGCAAGUCGAACGCAGUCGCUUCGCAAGGAGCGGCUGAGUGGCGAAUGGGUGCGUAACACGUAGGUGACCUGCCCGGAAGUGGGGAAUAACAGUCCGAAAGGACUGCUAAUACCGCAUGCGGUGCACGGGUUUUGAAGCCGUGUUCCAAAGGUUCGAGCAAUCGAGCCGCUUUCGGAGGGGCCUGCGGCCCAUCAGCUAGUUGGUAGGGUAACGGCCUACCAAGGCGACGACGGGUAGGGGACCUGAGA